rnacentral:rRNA from 1 species
GAUGAACGCCGGCGGCGUGCCUAACACAUGCAAGUCGAACGAAGCAUACGGGACGGAGAUUCGUCGAAGCCCUGUAUGACUUAGUGGCGGACGGGCGAGUAAUGUAUGAGAAACCUGCCUUUCAGAGCGGGACAACAGUUGGUAACGACUGCUAAUACCGCAUAAGGUAUUUGGGUGGCAUCACCUGGAUACCACAGGAGCAAUCCGGUGAAAGAUGGGCUCAUAUCUGAUUAGCUUGUUGGCGGGGUAACGGCCAACCAAGGCGACGAUCAGUAGCCGGACUGAGAGGUUGAACGGCCACAUUGGGACUGAGAUACGGCCCAGACUCCUACGGGAGGAAGCAGUGGGGAAUAUUGGGCAAUGGGCGAAAGCCUGACCCAGCAACGCCGCGUGAAGGAAGAAGGUCUUCGGGUUGUAAACUUCUUUUAUGAGGGACGAAGGACGUGACGGUACCUCAUGAAUAAGCCACGGCUAACUACGUGCCAGCAGCCGCCGUAACAC